rnacentral:rRNA from 1 species
CCACGCCCAAAUCCGCACCAAAUCGAGCGCCGCCACAUCCCUCCUCCGGCGGCACGCACGCAGGCGGCGCUGCUCGACCGACUCGCAGGUCAGGUGCAGGGACCCGCCGCCGCCGCCGCAAUGCAGGAAGCUCCCCUCCACCCGGCCCACCCCGUGCCCUUCGGCCCCAGACUGCCGGCCUUCCGCGAUCGCCGCCUCUGCCCCCCCACCGCCGACGGGCCCUUCUUCUACGGCGGCUGCACCCCCUUCGUCCCGAGCCCCAGGCCGUCCCCGCUCGGGCGCGGCAGCCCCCCCUUCACCCCGAGCCCCAGGUCCUCGUCGCCCGGCACCCCCUGGUCCUCCUCGGCCUCUUCCUCCUCCGGCUCCCGCGUCGACGCGGCGGCCACGGAGCAUGGCCUGCGCAUGGCCCGCCUCGCGCUGCAGUACCAGGACUUCGCCAACCGCUACCAGCUCUGCCUCUCCCACCUCGCCGACGCCGCGCGCGAGGCCGCCGCCAUCCGCCACGACAACUCCGGCCUCCGCCUCGCCAACAACGUCCUCGCCAGCCGCUUCGCCGUGCUCGGCGGCAACCAGGCCUCAGCCGUCGCGCUGGCCGAGCAGCUCCACCGCCUCCACCUCGGGCAGAUGCAGGCGCAGGCAGUGCCCGCUCCCCCGGUGCUGCCCAUGCCCAUGGCGCCGCGCCUCGCCUCCUCGGCCGAGAAGCUGCGCCCCCUCCACCCCGGGCAGAUGCAGGCGCAGGUCGUGCCGGCUCCCCCGCCGAUGCCCAGGGCGCGGCCCGCCUCCCCGGCCGAGAAGCACGCGGCGAUGCCCAAGAGCAUCUCCAUCCGCUCCAACGGCUACCUGAAGAUGGACAGGAACGGCAAGCAUCGCGUGACGGCGCCGGUGAACGUCGGCUCGGUGAGAUCAUCGAAACCCAACCCCUCCAUUCCUGCAACCCAAUCCCGCGGCUCUGUGCCAAUCCAGUCCAUGACGCUCACGUGUUCGAGCAUUUGCUUGUGUCGAUGCAAUGCGAGCAGCAGCGCGUGUUCGUGGGCGUGGACGGCGCCAAGGCGGAGGAGCACCAGGGCCGCGGCGGGGAGAAGGGCGGUCAGGUCGCCACGGCUGCCGACAGGCUGCAGUUCGAGGUGUACAGCCAGGGCAUGUUCAAGACGGAGCUGUGCAACAAGUGGGAGGAGACCGGGGCGUGCCCGUACGGCGACCAGUGCCAGUUCGCGCACGGCAUCGCAGAGCUCCGCCCCAUCAUCCGCCACCCGCGCUACAAGACCCAGGUCUGCCGCAUGGUCAUCGGCGGCGCCAUCUGCCCCUACGGCCACCGCUGCCACUUCCGCCACUCCAUCACCCCCGCUGACUACAUCCCCCUCCUCCACCCCUGAUCGCUACACAUGGCACUGCUCCAUCGCCGACGGCCACUCACUCUGCUCGCUUCAUUCCCUCACUCCUUCCUCCCCCUUCAUAAACUAUACAUAUGCCACAUUGGAAAACAAACCAAAAACACCAAAAUGGGAGACGUAAAUAAGGCAAACUUUGAUUUAGAUGCACAGAAGCAAACGGCACUUGAGUCAAGAGAGUUAGGACAUGCAGGAAAAAAUGUGAAUAUUUGUGCUGCUUAUUGGUGGGUUACUUUACAUUGGGAUUGAUCUGGGAUUCUGGAUCAUCAGAGAGGUAAAUUAUGUGUUGGGGGGUUGUUUCUUACAUGGUCUGUUAUAUAGCCAAUCGGUUACAUUUACAUGAUCUUUGUUUCUUAGUUAAUUUUCAAGAGGAAUUUAUGGACGUAGCCUUGUCAACAAAUCUGUUAGUAUUUGAGUACACCAUUGGUGUUAUUUUGAUACUGUCUUGUGGAAGGAAGUUCAGGCUACUUGAGACUUCAGUUAUAUUGUAUUUCUGGACAAUUGGAGAAAUGAGUUACUCCUAUAUGAUUUUUGAAGGAUGUCGAGCAUAGAUGCCAAUGAUAUGAUUUGCCUAUAGUUUCUGU